GACAGAGGGUGCAAACGUUGCUCGGAAUUACUGGGCGUAAAGCGCGUGUAGGCGGACUGGUGUGUCGGAUGUGAAAUCCCCAGGCUCAACCUGGGAACUGCAUUCGAAACUGCCGGCCUUGAGUGGUGGAGAGGGAAGUGGAAUUCCUGGUGUAGAGGUGAAAUUCGUAGAUAUCAGGAGGAACACCAGUGGCGAAGGCGGCUUCCUGGACACCAACUGACGCUGAGACGCGAAAAGCGUGGGGAGCAAACAGG
rnacentral:rRNA from 1 species